AGAGCCCAUCUCUUCCCUCUUGGAGGUUGUGGACGUCACACCUGAAGAAAGGACUCUCACGAUGGCCGUCUCCGCCACUCUGCCAGCUGACAUCCAAGCAGAGGAUGUUGCUGUGGUCAUCCCGGAUGUCACCCCACACGUCACCAAGGACGUGACACUGGAUGUUCCAUGCAGAGCUAGGAAAGGGGCAGUCCAGCGAUUAUUUUGCAGGCUUUG